GCCAGGAUGGUGCAGUGGCUUGAACACUGGACUAUGACUCUGGAGACCAGGGUCUGAAUCCCAGCUCAGCCA